GGACAGAAAGACCCUAUGAACCUUUACUGCAACUUCGCAGUGGCGCCAGGAAGGGACUGUGUAGGAUAGGUGGGAGGCUUUGAAGCCGGGGCGCCAGCUCUGGUGGAGCCAACCUUGAAAUACCACCCUGUGCCUCUCUGGCGUCUAACUGAGCCCGGUAAGCCCGGGUCAGGACCCUGCGUGGUGGGCAGUUUGACUGGGGCGGUCGCCUCCCAAAUGGUAACGGAGGCGCGCGAUGGUGGGCUCAAGCCGGUCGGACAUCGGCUGUCGAGUGCAAAGGCACAAGCCCGCCUGACUGUGAGCGCGACAGCGCGAACAGAGACGAAAGUCGGCCUUAGUGAUCCGGUGGUCCCGCGUGGAAGGGCCAUCGCUCAACGGAUAAAAGGUACUCUAGGGAUAACAGGCUGA
rnacentral:rRNA from 1 species